AGGAAAUUUUUCAUGAGGGAAUAAGAUAACUUUCCUGGUUUACAGAGAGAUGUAUAAGGAGACUAUAAGAUAAGAUCCCCCAAAACUGCAGAAAGAGUAGUAAAGUUUACUUUGGUAUAAAAGUACUUUAAUUAAAUUUUUAUUGGAAUAUCUAGAGAAAAACGAUGGGAUUGAAAAGCUUUGAUGAUUCCAGGCCUACGACUUGGCUAGAUGACCUUCUCAAUGAAGAAAAAAAUGCAAUAAAAGAGUUAAAAAAACGCACCUUGCCUGAGCUAUCUAAUAAGAUGUUGGAUGAUCCUAGUUUAUUUUAUCGCUUUUUAAAAGGUAAACCUUUAAUGCUUUUUGCAAGACAUCUUUGAAAACAAUAAAAUCAUUCAAUCUUAAACUUAAUUAUAAACAAGCAACAAAAAACUAUUUUUUUUU